CGCUAGGAUGAACGCUAGCGGCAGGCUAACACAUGCAAGUCGAGGGGCAUCGCGGUGUAGCAAUACACUGGCGGCGACCGGCGAAAGGGUGAGUAACGCGUGAGCAACAUACCCGGCACUGGGGGAUAGUCAUUGGAAACGAUGCGUAAUACCCCGUAAUACAUGGAGCGGCAUCGCUUCAUGUUAAGAGAUUUAUCGAUGUCGGAUUGGCUCGCGUACCAUUAGCUAGUGGCGGGUAACGCCCACCAAGGCGACGAUGGUUAGGGGUUCUGAGAGGAAGGUCCCCCACAUUGGAACUGAGACACGGUCCAGACUCCUACGGGAGGCAGCAGUGAGGAAUAUUGGUCAAUGGCCGAGAGGCUGAACCAGCCAUGCCGCGUGGACCGGGAAGACGGCCCUAUGGGUUGUAAACCGCUUUUGUCGGGGAGCAAUAAGUCUUACGAGUAAGAUGAUGAGAGUACCUGGCGAAUAAGCAUCGGCUAACUCCGUGCCAGCCGCGGC
rnacentral:rRNA from 1 species